GAUGAACGCUGGCGGCGUGCCUAAUACAUGCAAGUCGAGCGAACAGACGAGGAGCUUGCUCCACUGACGUUAGCGGCGGACGGGUGAGUAACACGUGGAUAACCUACCUAUAAGACUGGGAUAACUUCGGGAAACCGGAGCUAAUACCGGAUAACAUGUUGAACCGCAUGGUUCAACAGUGAAAGACGGUCUUGCUGUCACUUAUAGAUGGAUCCGCGCCGCAUUAGCUAGUUGGUAAGGUAACGGCUUACCAAGGCAACGAUGCGUAGCCGACCUGAGAGGGUGAUCGGCCACACUGGAACUGAGACACGGUCCAGACUCCUACGGGAGGCAGCGGUAGGGACUCUUCCGCAAUGGGCGAAAGCCUGACGGAGCAACGCCGCGUGAGUGAAGAAGGUCUUCGGAUCGUAAAACUCUGUUAUUAGGGAAGAACAAAUGUGUAAGUAACUAUGCACGUCUUGACGGUACCUAAUCAGAAAGCCCCGGCUAACUACGUG
rnacentral:rRNA from 1 species